CAGCAGCCGCGGUAAUACGUAGGGUGCAAGCGUUAAUCGGACUUACUGGGCGUAAAGCGUGCGCAGGCGGUUCGGAAAGAAAGAUGUGAAAUCCCAGAGCUUAACUUUGGAACUGCAUUUUUAACUACCGGGCUAGAGUGUGUCAGAGGGAGGUGGAAUUCCGCGUGUAGCAGUGAAAUGCGUAGAUAUGCGGAGGAACACCGAUGGCGAAGGCAGCCUCCUGGGAUAACACUGACGCUCAUGCACGAAAGCGUGGGGAGCAAACAGGAUUAGAUACCCUGGUAGUCCACGCCCUAAACGAUGUCAACUAGCUGUUGGGGCCUUCGGGCCUUGGUAGCGCAGCUAACGCGUGAAGUUGACCGCCUGGGGAGUACGGUCGCAAGAUUAAAACUUAAAGGAAUUGGCGGG
rnacentral:rRNA from 1 species